UAUGUCUGGAAGGCUUUAUACAAGGACAUUUUUGCUGGCUGCAACUGAGAUCUCCAGAGAUAGUACAUGAUUCUUCUUUAAAAAUUGAAGGUGUUUAUGCCUAAGAUGAAACAGUUCUACUCAGGCAAGAGAUGUACUUAUCUGUAUAAAACAAAAACAGCACAAUGACCCCUGGGGGCAAACCAAACAAAACCAGAGAAAUCUGAGGAAAGGUAAUUAGGGCCCAUAGAAACAGUGGCAAGGUUUGUGCCAUAUUGUCAAGCAGCCUUCCUGCAAAGGCCAUUAGAAUCAGGAUCAGGGUGAGUGUUGUACUCCUCCUGGAUUUAA
rnacentral:lncRNA from 1 species